rnacentral:rRNA from 2 species
CAUGUCGAAGUAUAAAAGCAACUAUACUGUGAAACUGCGAAUGGCUCAUUAAAUCAGUUAUCGUUUAUUUGAUAGUGCCUUACUACUUGGAUAACCGUGGUAAUUCUAGAGCUAAUACAUGCAUCAAACCCCGACAGGGGUGUAUUUAUUAGAUAAAAAACCAAUGCCCUCCGGGGCUGCUUGGUGAAUCAUGAUAACUUAACGAAUCGCAUGGCCUUGCGCCGGCGAUGGUUCAUUCAAAUUUCUGCCCUAUCAACUUUCGAUUGUAGUUUAGUGGACUACAAUGGUUUCAACGGGUAACGGGGAAUUAGGGUUCGACUCCGGAGAGGGAGCCUGAGAAACGGCUACCACAUCCAAGGAAGGCAGCAGGCGCGCAAAUUACCCAAUCCCGACACGGGGAGGUAGUGACAAUAAAUACUGAUACAGGGCUCUUUUGGGUCUUGUAAUUGGAAUGAGUACAAUCUAAAUCCCUUAACGAGGAACAAUUGGAGGGCAAGUCUGGUGCCAGCAGCCGCGGUAAUUCCAGCUCCAAUAGCGUAUAUUAAAGUUGUUGCAGUUAAAAAGCUCGUAGUUGAACCUUGGGCCUGGCUGACCGGUCCGCCUCACCGCGUGCACUGGUUCGGCCGGGCCUUUCCUUCUGCGGAACGGCAUGCCCUUCACUGGGCGUGUUUCGGGAAGCAGGACUUUUACUUUGAAAAAAUUAGAGUGUUCAAAGCAGGCCUUUGCUCGAAUACAUUAGCAUGGAAUAAUGGAAUAGGACGGCGCUCCUAUUUUGUUGGUUUCUAGGAGAGCCGUAAUGAUUAAUAGGGACAGUUGGGGGCAUCCGUAUUCAGUUGUCAGAGGUGAAAUUCUUGGAUUUACUGAAGACGAACUACUGCGAAAGCAUUUGCCAAAGAUGUUUUCAUUAAUCAGUGAACGAAAGUUAGGGGAUCGAAGACGAUCAGAUACCGUCGUAGUCUUAACCAUAAACUAUGCCGACUAGGGAUCGGGCGAUGUUAUUGUAUUGACUCGCUCGGCACCUUUCGAGAAAUCAAAGUGUUUGGGUUCUGGGGGGAGUAUGGUCG